UUAUCUCCUCUUUCAAAGAGGAAGGUCGUUUUUUUUAAUAAAAGAGAGCACUCUCCCUGAUUUCCAUUAAGAGAAAUCACCAUGUCUUACAAAGGAAAAUCGGGAAAUAAAACUGCAGCAUAACCCCUCCCCCCUCUUUUCGCAGUUAUGCUAACCUAUUGAGGGGGGGGGGGGGAGCCAUCCCUUUCCCCCCCAUUUUGUCCUCAAGGUAGCACCCCCAGGGGAUCCAAGGGCCGGGCUCAAAACAAGUCCCAGCCCUCAGCUUUAAAGCACGUCUCAAAACACAGAAAAACAUUCCAAGGGGAAUCACACACAGCCACCUCUAAACAUAGUAGUCUACCAUCCCUACAUUUUUAUUACUGCCCCAGGAGCAAAAUAUCGGAGAGCAGCUUGAAACAAGAAGGCAAGUCGUUGUCGAAGCGUCUGUUUUCGCAGCACUAGAGGAUUGAAAGGUGGUCACCCCAUGAUUCUCCCAGUCUUCAGGCGCCAUCCAUGAGCUGCUUUGAACACUUCUCCAGCCACCUCGCCGACUUGUUUCACUCCAGCCUCCAUCAUCUUACUUCUUACGGGGUUUGUCUGCAAAACAUUCCAAUCAUGCAAGUUUUUAAGAAGCAGGUUAACAGGUAUACAGGGAUCAUUCACCCUGUUGUUAUAAAAAAUAAUACUAUUUCUCAACUUCCAAAUAGUCCAGCAAAUCGCUGAGAUGCCUAUCAUAACCAAACCCCUUUCAUCUUUUCCAAAAGUCUUCACCCAGAUUCUCAUUACCAGGUCAAGAUCUUCUGGGAUGUUUUUUUAAUUGAAAGCACAUUUCAAGAUAUUUCAUAAUAACCUAGCAACAGAGCAAGAGAGGAAAAGGUGGUUUAUAUUUUCUUUAUGUCCACAAAAAGGACAUUUAUCAUCGCCUUUCCAACCUCUGCGCAGCAGGUUAUCUUUCGGAAGUAUACUAUUUUUAAGAGCCAACCACAUAAAGACUUUGACUCUGGGUGGCAUUUUAAUUUUCCACGUGUACAAGUGUGGGUAUCUGAUACCAUUUUCAAUCAGAUGUCUAUAGAAGGAUUUUACAGUAUAAACCCCUUUCUUAGUCAGUGUCCAUUUCACCUCAUCGUUGUCCUCAUUCAGAGUCACUGAGCUACAAGCCUCCUUAAUAUGCUCCCAGAGCACUCUUGAAUCCCUUGUCAAAGUUCUCCUAAAAUGCAUGUUAUCUAUACCAUUAUCUAGGAUCUCCUUAACUAUUUUCUUUUUAUCAAAGCAUAUAUCGUACAACCUAGGCAAGUUUUUGCUAAGUGGAGCAGAUCCAAUCCACCAGUCUUCCCAAAAUCGUGUUUUGUCCCCUUUUCCCACUGUGAAUUUACAUAACGAGGUAAAAUGGUCUAUGUUUCAGGAUCUCCCUCCAAAACUGAGAGUCUCCCUGUUUGACAGAUACACUGCCCAGGUUUUUAUUUCUUAUAUAUUUUUUCAAAAUAAUAUCCUGCCACAGCCCCUCAGUUGUGUAUAACUUCCACCACCAUUUGCAAAGCAGAGCUUUGUUCAUAUGGGUGAGGUUUUGGAUCCCCAAACCCCCCAUAUCUUUCGGCCUGCACACCUCAGACCAUUUAACUAGAUGGUAUUUUUUCUUUUGAUCAUUCUCUUGCCAUAGAAAUCUAGCUCUGAAGAAAUCCAUAUGCUUGUUUACCCCAAUGGGUAAACCAUAGAAAGACAUCAUAAAAUAAGGUAUGCCUGUCAAGAAGAUUGAAUCAGCGUAACCCUCCCUGCACUGGCAAGUAAUCUGCCUUGCCAGUUUUCACAUUUUCUCUCCAUUUUACUCUCAGGAGGUUUCCAAAGUUUAUUGCCAAUUCUAUUUUUAUCAACUGGUAGUCCUAGAUAUUUCAUAGGCAAAACACCCAUUGGAUAUGUAAAGAUUCUUGCAUAUUCAUCCUUUUUAUCAAUGGCUUCCCCAAAUAAAAAUAGCUCACUCUUAUGAAAGUUAAUCUUCAGCCCAGACAUUUGCUCAAAGAGGCACAAGAUAUAUUUCAAAUUAUGGGCACUAUCUAUAUCAUCUUGUAAUAAGAAGAUAGUAUCAUCUGCAUAUUGUAACAUGUUAACCCCAUUUGGAACAUUUUCAUUUAGUACCCCUUUAACCAGACCAUUUUUUCUAGCUUUGUCUAACAUAAUUGCUAGAGCAUCAGCAUCCAGGUCAAAGUUGAGAGGUGACAAUGAAUCCCCCUGCCUCAACCCUUUAUGAGUGAGGAAAUAUUUUCCUAGAUUUUCAUUGACUUUUACACAAACUUUCCCCCCUAAUGGUUUCCAUCACCCAGUCCACCCAUUUAUCAGGGAAUCCUUUUAAUCUAAGCAUCUGAAAAAGGAAAGACCAUUUGAUUUUAUCAUAUGCCUUUUCAAAAUCAAUUUUCAAUAAAAGAGCGCUUUGCUUUUUCUUUUUAAUGUUGUUUAAGGCUUCGUGUAAAAUCAGAACCCCUUCCAUAAUAUAUCUGCCUUUAACAAACGCAGUCUGAACAGGAGAUAUAACAUCAGCAGCUCCCAAAUUUAGCCUGUUCAUCAAUACUUUUGUAAUGAUUUUAAAGCAGACAUUUAGCAGGCAAAUUGGCCUAAAUUUUUGUAUUUUAUUAGCAUCUUUUCCUUUAGGGACUAGAGUAAUAAUCCCAUAGUUUAAUCUACUAAUAUCAAUUUUCCUUCUGGCAAAGUCAUCCAACAAGGCUUUGAGAUCAUGUUUCACCAAUUCCCAAUAGUGCUGAUAGAAUUCAGCUAUAAAUCCAUCUGGGCCAGGUGAUAUGUUAUGUGCCAUUUUGAAGACAACCUUCUUAACUUCCUCCAAAGAGAAUUCUUCAGUCAGAAUAUCUCUAUACCUAUCUUGGAUCUUAUCUGGAUUAUCAAUAUUUAAAGAGAUUGAAGAGUCAUCAGGGGGACCAAACAAGUUUUUAUAAAAGGCAGUGAUGUAAUCUAUUAGAUUUUUUCAGCCUCCACAACCCCCUCAUCCUGUUCCAGUUUGUUAAUUCUAUUUCUUCUAAGUCUCCCAUUAGCUUUGGCAUGGAAGAAUUUGGCGUUACUAUCCCCUUCUAGAAUUUCAUCUAUCUUAGCUCUCUGUCUCCAUUUAGCUUCCUCAUGUUUAAGAAGUCUAUCAAGUUGAGCUCUCAGCUUCAUUUGUUCUUUUCUAUCAGCAGCUGUAAGGCCAUUUAAUUCACAAUGUUUAUCAAUAGUAUCCAAUUUCAUCAGAAUGUCUUUUUUUAACUCUAUGUGCCAGGCAUUCAUAUUCAUGUUCCAUCCUUUAAGUUUGGGUCUAAGAAUCCUAAAUUUACCUAGCAGUCUAUCUAUGUUGUCCCCUUUAAUUCCUGGGUCAUUCCAAACCUCCUGAACAAUUUUAUCAAUACCUUCCCUCAAGAACCAGGCAUUUUCAAAUCUAAAAAUUGGGUCAGAUUUUUGAAAAUCCCCAGAGUCUAGGAAAAGAGGAGUGUGAUCAGAUUUCUCUCUAGUCAGAGCUGUAACCUGGGUUAAAGGGUAAGCUUCUUCCCACUCUGUACUACAAAGAAUUCUAUCUAAUUUUUCAAAAGUGGGAAUAGGUAAAUUAUUCCCCCAUGUGAAUUGUCUCCCAUUCAUCUCAAGCUCUCUCACCCCAGCUUGUUCUAAAAUGGCAUUAAACAAAAAACUUCAGUGUCCAAGAGACCCUGGUUUUUUUUCACUGGCUUUUCUAAUAAUGUUAAAGUCACCUCCAAUCAAAAUGAGGUUGACACAAUUUUGAAAAAUUCUGGAUAGCUCAGCUAGGAAGAUUGCUUUUCUUUCGGGUUGGGCAUCUCCAUAUAUCACCACCAGGUCCCAAAUCAACCUAGUUUUCAGAUCUUGGACUGUCAUUUUGAUAUGACAAUCCCCCUCAUCUUGUGAGAUCGCAUCUAAGAUGGUAUAAUUAACUCCCAACAAGAGACCACCAGAUUUCCCCCUAGCUGGGGUGAAAUGCCAGUGAAAAUCCCUACCAGCACAGAUUUGCUGCAGAUCAUUCCUAGAAAAUUGUUGUCUCAUGGUCUCUUGUAGACCCAAAAAGUCCACCUUCAUGUCCAUAACCAUUUCCCUAAGAAAUCUUUUUUUUAUAUCCCCCCAAACCCUCUCAUAUUCUAGAAGAUGCCUCUCAUCUUUUUUUAUUUUUUUAACAGAAGAUUCUAGGGCCUUAAUAACAGAGGCAGUUUUAACUCCAGAACCUCUGGUAGUUUUGCCUCUCUUUUUCCCUUUUUUGGAUGAGAAAAGCCCCCUUAGUAAAUCCCUGUCGUCUUCCUCCUCUUUAUCCCCCUCAUUCUCACCCUGAUCUAAUAGAUCUUCCAGGGUGUGUUCCUCAGUGUCAAUGAUAUUAGUCUCCUCAGGCAGAGGAGUUUGCUUUUGAUUUUUGUUAUAAUCAUUUAACCACAUAUCAAUUCUAGCCUGUUCAACAUUUUUUAUCAAUUCUAAAUUAUGAUUAAUCAUAUCAGGGUUGUUACCCAAGUUGACUCCCACCCCUUCAGCAAUUUUUUGAAGGAAACUAUUGGAUCUAGAGAUGAUUCAACAUGUAGGCUCACCAUAGUUAUUCUUCUGAGCUGCUCUCUCCUUGGCCAGCUCAGUGAUAUUGCCAUCUUCCUUGCCUUUCAAUCUAGUGCAUCUCCUUAGCUCUUCUUCCUCUUGGGAUUCCAAUUCCCCUUUCUCAGCUUUUUUAACUUUUGUCCCAAAGGAAUCUAUCUCCUGGCUAGCAGUAUAAUCCACUGGCUUCAUAUAACCCAAAUCAACUACCUGAUUCAUCAGCUCAAGGUCUGUCAUGUCUUCCCAAUCCACCUGCUUGUCUUCUGUUGCUGCUUCCUCAUCAAUAGCUUCUUCCUCUUCUUCAUUUUCAGUGGUUUUUUCACCUGACUGUGACCCCCCUCACAUCAUCAUUCACUUUCAGGUUAAUUUGCAACAGUUCAUGUUGUCUCGUGACCUCUUUUUCUAGUGUUUUUCCUAUGAUUUCCAUUUCUUUUCUUUUGUUCUCUUCCAGCAUAAGUUGUGCACUCUGCCUAGCAGCUAAUUCCUUUGCUUUUUGUAAUCUCAUCCUCAGACUUUCUUCUUCACCCUGAGUAUCUGUUAUUGUUACUGUCUCCACUCUCUCUUUAGCUGCUUCACUGGUUUGGCCUAUGUCACCAGAAUUGAGGACCAUUUGUUCAUACUGCUUUAGCCCCAGGCUCCCCAGAAUGAGAUUUGGUUUCCAAGUCUCAUAUUGUUUGCUUUUCUUCUGCAUGUCAUUCUCUCUCUGUAUUUCAGGAUUUCUAGAUCAAGGUAGUCAAAAAAUUUCCUUUUAUUCCCCUCAUCAAACUUGUACCAUCCCUGUUCUGCAAAAGAAUCAAACUCAAAGCCUAUGUCAUAUAGCAGCAGGUCUUUUGUAGUGAUCUCAGUGCCAGCAGGGAUUUUGUGCAAGUCCCUCACUCCCACUUUCACCCUAAUUUCUUCCUUGGAAUGAAUAUGUUCUACAUCCACUUCAACCACAGGGCCCAAAGCUGAGCCAAUUUCACACACACCCAAAUAAUGUCUCAGGGUAUCAGGCACUCCCCACAUUUUUAUCCAAACUGAAUGGAGUUUUCCUUUUGCUUUAUCAUCUGGACUCCAAAAGUCCACUUCCACCAUAGCCCCUGUGCCAAGUAGAGUGAAUUUACCAAAGUUUUUAAGCUCCACCAACUUGGCCUUAUUGGGAAAUCUCAUAAGAAAGGUUUUGGGACUCUGAAAUUUGGCUCUCCAUGUCCACCCCUAAUCAAACAUCUUGUUGAAUCCAUAGGCCACAGUGGUUUCAUUCAGCUGUCCAGCAUGCACAGUAACCAAGGCCAUAUGAUUUAUGUGUUCAGAAGCUACAAUGUCCUUUGUGUUCUGAACCAGAAGACACCCCAAACCCCUAGCUCCAUACCCAACAUACUUAGCAACUGGUUUAGCUUGCCUUAACAUAGUGCAUUCCUCAGUAUUGUGAGAUGGCCUUUGACCAACCACACAAAACACCUUGUUUUUGUAGUCACUCUUCAUAUGUCCCUGUUCUUUGCAUUUGGCACAGAAAAGCUCUUUGGUAUUUCCUGCUUCCUUCUUUUUUGUUGCCUCUUUGGCCCCUUCCACCUUUGCUCCCCCUUGUGUCCGCAAAAUCUCCUGUUUUGGCAGAUUUGAGAGCAGGUACUGGUAUUGAUGUGCCAUUUGGUCUUAUGGUAUGAAGCCAAAUUGCCCAAGCCCCAUUCCAAACGACACCAUCUAUGUAGUUUCUAUUGCUUAUCAUUGGGAAGCCCCCUGCCAUCUGGAUAGGCCCUCCCUGCAUUCCCAUCUGCUGCAUAUUAGGAUUACUAACCACAAACCCACUUCCAGGCCCAGUCUCACCCAUCCCAACUUGAGAUCUCUCUUGCUGGUUCCCAUUUAUGUCUGAAGUAAACCUGCCUAGCUUGCUGUCUCCAUCUCUGCCAUUUCCCGUCGAGGUUCCUUCCCCACCAGACCGAUUGCUAUUCGUCCAUGAUCCCCCUCUGAAAUUUCCCUCUCUGUUUCUCCAUCCAUAUCCGUCCUGCUCUCUCUCAUCCUGCCUAAUAAAUCCUCUCCCAAAAUUCUCAUACCUGCCAUAUAAAUUACCUCUUCCUCUUGGAACGGCCCCUCUCCUCGGUCUUGGUCUCCAACUCUCCUGCCUGCCUAUCAUGGCUUCUUCUUCUUCCCAGAGAAUUUCUCCCUCCUCAGCGUUCUCCCCUAGGCUUGUCGCCGCCGAGAUCUUGCUAGGGUUAGGGAGGUGGAGGAAAUCAGGUUCUGGAAUGGAG
rnacentral:lncRNA from 1 species